CACGAGCACUAACUAGAGGUGACUGCGAAAUACAACGCCGCAAGACCAAAUUUGGUCAAAUGGUGGUGUCCAUCAGAGGAACACAGUCCUGGAAUAUAUUACCAACACAUGUUAGAGACUGUGCCACUUACACCACCUUUAAAAAAAACCUUAAACAGUGGUUAGUAGCAAGCCAGACCUGCUCUCAUAUGUAACCUUUGGUCAUUCUAAUUUUUUAACAUGGACUCUUGAUGUGGGGACCUAUUUUGUGUGUAAAAGUGUUUUUUUAAUCUAUUUUGUAUACUGGUAUGUUCAAUUAAGCUAACUCCGGCAUAUUUAUAUUGAUGCUCUGGCUGACAUAUUGAUUAAUGUGCACUGUCCUAAUCAAAUAAAUAAAUAAUAAUAAUAAU